GGAGUCUAGCAUGUGCGCGAGUCAUUGGGACACACAUAAACCCAAAGGCGAAAUGAAAGUGAAGGUCCGCCUCGCGCGGACCGAGGGAAGAUGGGCGAUCGUUUCGGCUGUCGCCCCGCACUCCCGAGGCGUCUCGUUCUCAUUGCGAGAAGAGGCGCACUAAGAGCGUACACGCUGGGACCCGAAAGAUGGUGAACUAUGCCUGGUCAGGACGAAGUCAGGGGAAACCCUGAUGGAGGUCCGUAGCGAUUCUGACGUGCAAAUCGAUCGUCGGAACUGGGUAUAGGGGCGAAAGACUAAUCGAACCAUCUAGUAGCUGGUUCCCUCCGAAGUUUCCCUCAGGAUAGCUGGCGCUCGUAUUUACGAGUUUCAUCCGGUAAAGCGAAUGAUUAGAGGCAUUGGGGUCGAAACGGCCUCAACCUAUUCUCAAACUUUAAAUGGGUGAGAUCUCCGGCUUGCUCGAACGUAUGAAGCCGUGAGAAUCGAAUCAGAGUGCCAAGUGGGCCAUUUUUGGUAAGCAGAACUGGCGCUGUGGGAUGAACCAAACGCCGAGCUAAAGCGCCUAAAUCAACGCUUAUGGGAUACCAUGAAAGGCGUUGGUAACUUAAGACAUCAGGACGGUGGCCAUGGAAGUC
rnacentral:rRNA from 1 species